CCCGAUGAACCUGAAUAUCCAUUAUGGAAAAUUCAUCAGUAAUAAUAAAAUAUAUUAAAAAUAUUUUAUAAGUAUUGUGCAAUUUUUCCAUAUAAGGACAUUGUAAUCUGUUAAUGUAAUAAAUAUUUAUCAUAAGAUCCAUUACUUAAGUUUAUUCAAAUUAGUUAUUUUCGGAUUUCUAACAUAAAAUAAAUGUUUUGGAUUUGAUAAAUCAUUGACAGAUAUAAUUAUAUAAUGUGCUUAAAAUUUUUCGAAAUUUUUACAAUGAUAAUUUAAUCUAAUGAUUUUAUUAUUUAAUUGUAUGCACUAUUAUGAUUGACAAUGCGAUAGAUUCAGGAUACCUUCGGGACCCGUCUUGAAACACGGACCAAGGAGUCUAACAUAUGUGCAAGUCAUUGGGUAUUUUUAAUAAAACCCAAUGGCAUAAUUAACUUAACUGUUUAUAAUGGGAUUAGUUUGUAAUUUGUUAUGAAUUAUUAAUUCAAUCCCGGGGCGUUCUAUAUAGUUAUGUAUGAUAAUAUUUAUAUUAUUUAUGCCUCUAACUCGAGC
rnacentral:rRNA from 1 species